rnacentral:rRNA from 1 species
UACGGAGGGGGCUAGCGUUGUUCGGAAUUAUUGGGCGUAAAGCGCACGUAGGUGGCUUUGUAAGUUAGAGGUGAAAGCCCGGGGCUCAACUCCGGAAUUGCCUUUAAGACUGCAUCGCUAGAACGUCGGAGAGGUAAGUGGAAUUCCGAGUGUAGAGGUGAAAUUCGUAGAUAUCGGAAGGAACAUCAGUGGCGAAAGCGACUUCCUGGACCAAUACUGACGCUCAUGUGCGAAAGCGUGGGGAGCAAACAGG